CUCGUUAGAUACACUAGGCGUGAGAUGUUCCUUGGAUCCUUAAUCACAUAGACCCGACGAGGGAAGCGUGCAAGCGCCUUUUUCAAUGUCGUUUGAGACAUUUCUUCAUACUCAACGCGCGGACAAUUGUCGAAGAUCCUGAUAGUUGCAGGUUCGAAGACACACGAGCGUCCAGUGACGAUGAUAUCGGAGUGGCGGUUGUUUGACGACAGACCAUCGGACCAAUCGCGCACUCUACCACGGCCAAUCCUGCGUCCAUCGUUGCCCACCUCCGAGUCUAUCCUACGGGAAUGUCGAGGACGUUGCCGCUGAUCAAGGUCACAGCUACAUCGUCUUUCGUGGUGGUCGUCGACUAACUGUAGAAUGAAUGUGGCUAAAGGAGACCGAUUUGUGUUUAGCUAUCUUUCGAAUAGCUUGCGACAAAAAUGGGAGUGGUGCCGGCAGAAGAGGUAUGGUGAGGUCAUGAGAUUGGUCAGAGUUUAGAGAGUUGUAACAGGAAUUUGAGUAGGUAGAUACAUAAAUUGAAAGAAAUACAGUAGGUGGAUACGAUUUCAAAUAAAAUAUGUUCUUCUUCUU